GAUGAACGCUGGCGGCGUGCCUAAUACAUGCAAGUCGAGCGAAUGGAUUAAGAGCUUGCUCUUAUGAAGUUAGCGGCGGACGGGUGAGUAACACGUGGGUAACCUGCCCAUAAGACUGGGAUAACUCCGGGAAACCGGGGCUAAUACCGGAUAACAUUUUGAACCGCAUGGUUAGAAAUUGAAAGGCGGCUUCGGCUGUCACUUAUGGAUGGACCAGCAUCGCAUUAGCAAGUUGGUGAGGUAACGCCUCACCAAGGCAACGAUGCGAAGCCGCCCUGAGAGGGUCAUCGGCCACACUGGGACUGGGACACGGCCCAGACUCCUACGGGAGGCAGCAGUAGGGAAGCUUCCGCAAUGGACGAAAGUCUGACGGGGCAACGCCGCGUGAGUGAUGAAGGCUUUCGGGUGGUAAAACUCUGUUGUUAGGGAAGAACAAGUGCUAGUUGAAUAAGCUGGCACCUUGACGGUACCUAACCAGAAAGCCACGGCUAACUACGUGCCAGCAGCCGCCGUAA
rnacentral:rRNA from 1 species